rnacentral:misc_RNA from 1 species
GUAGGUGAACCUGCGGAAGGAUCAUUAACAAAUCCAGUUGUGGAGAGGUUGGAGAGAGGGGGAGAUGGAUGGGAGUGAGGGAGGAGGAGGGAGAGGAAUGGGGAGGAGAUGGGAGAUGAGAUGGAUGGAAAUGGAGGAGCAAUCCUGCAUUUCUGGAAUCUCUUGUCGCUCACUCACUCACUCACUCACUCGCUCGCUCGCUCGCUCGCUUACCUUGUCUAUCUCAAUUCCCCCUACCCACCAAUUCACA